GACGAACGCUGGCGGCGUGCUUAACACAUGCAAGUCGAACGGUGAAGGGACCGGUUUUUGCUGGUUCUGGAUGAGUGGCGAACGGGUGAGUAACACGUGAGUAACCUGCCCCCUUCUUCUGGAUAACCGCAUGAAAGUGUGGCUAAUACGGGAUAUUCUGCGCCUGCUGCAUGGUGGGUGUGGGAAAGAUAUUGUUUCGGUGGGGGAUGGGCUCGCGGCCUAUCAGCUUGUUGGUGGGGUGAUGGCCUACCAAGGCGGUGACGGGUAGCCGGCCUGAGAGGGUGGGCGGUCACACUGGGACUGAGACACGGCCCAGACUCCUACGGGAGGCAGCAGUGGGGAAUAUUGCACAAUGGGCGCAAGCCUGAUGCAGCGACGCCGCGUGAGGGAUGGAGGCCUUCGGGUUGUAAACCUCUUUCGCCAGUGAAGCAGGCCUGUCCCUUUUGUGGGUGGGUUGACGGUAGCUGGAUAAGAAGCGCCGGCUAACUACGUG
rnacentral:rRNA from 1 species